CCCCGGCGAGGGGAGUGAAAAAGAACCUGAAACCGUGUACGUACAAGCAGUGGGAGCACAGAGCAAUCUGUGUGACUGCGUACCUUUUGUAUAAUGGGUCAGCGACUUAUAUUCUGUAGCAAGGUUAACCGAAUAGGGGAGCCGAAGGGAAACCGAGUCUUAACUGGGCGUUAAGUUGCAGGGUAUAGACCCGAAACCCGGUGAUCUAGCCAUGGGCAGGUUGAAGGUUGGGUAACACUAACUGGAGGACCGAACCGACUAAUGUUGAAAAAUUAGCGGAUGACUUGUGGCUGGGGGUGAAAGGCCAAUCAAACCGGGAGAUAGCUGGUUCUCCCCGAAAGCUAUUUAGGUAGCGCCUCGUGAAUUCAUCUCCGGGGGUAGAGCACUGUUUCGGCAAGGGGGUCAUCCCGACUUACCAACCCGAUGCAAACUGCGAAUACCGGAGAAUGUUAUCACGGGAGACACACGGCGGGUGCUAACGUCCGUCGUGAAGAGGGAAACAACCCAGACCGCCAGCUAAGGUCCCAAAGUCAUGGUUAAGUGGGAAACGAUGUGGGAAGGCCCAGACAGCCAGGAUGUUGGCUUAGAAGCAGCCAUCAUUUAAAGAAAGCGUAAUAGCUCACUGGUCGAGUCGGCCUGCGCGGAAGAUGUAACGGGGCUAAACCAUGCACCGAAGCUGCGGCAGCGACACUGUGUGUUGUUGGGUAGGGGAGCGU
rnacentral:rRNA from 1 species